CCAAGCAAGCCUCUUUGUAUAAUCUUAUACAGUAAUCCAUAUACCUUUAAAAUCUAAAAUUCAUAAUGUUCAAAUAUAGUCCUUUUGAAAACAAUUCAUAAAACCCAAUUAUGCAUUCAUAAUGGCAUCAUCUACCAUAAUAUACAUAUAUAGCUUGACCAAUGAAUCUUAGUAUUUCUUCUCAAGUAUUCAUAUACACAUAAUUAGGCCUUGACCGUCAACGGAGUGACUCUGGUCACAGUUGCUAACAUUUAAUAUCAUGGUAAAUCUACCAAGCAAUGGAUAAGGAUGAGCACUUUGUCCUAAGAUCCAAUCACCUUUAACUUAGGAAACCUAAAACAUGAAUUUUAAAAACGUGAGUACAAACUCAGUGAGUGAACAUAGGAAGGGAACAAAAAAUGACAAGGAAUGGUUUAGAAAAUAUAAUGCACUUAUUUGAAAACAAUGCCAUUUAGUUAAAGUUCUUAUUAAAAUCCCUCCAUUAAACCCUUGGUUGUAAAAUCAUUUAAUGAUGAAGGAACCGUAUUUAGCAUGAAAUUGGAAAGAAGGGAAAUUUCCAGCAAUUAUCCAAGUAAGGCAAUAUAAACAUAAUGUUUCUCGUUGCAAUAAAAUCAAUUUGCAAAUAAACGAAAAAUUUUCAAGAUUCAUUAUGUGCAUCUCACCCAACUCAUGUGCAUCCCACCACAUCGUGCACAUAGCCGGACAUCCCAUCUCACCCAGCUCAUGUGCAUCCCACCACAUCGUGCACAUAGCCGGACAGUGUCACCAUCCAUCUCCCUCACCACCGUCAUCACCGGCAAGUGCACACUCACCCCGCACAUGCACGGUUGCAUUUGUCACACAAUGGUACUAUUUAUGAUAUAAUAUAUAUAUAUAUCAACAUUAUACAAAAACAUAUGGAUUCAUCCUUUUACACAUUUCACAUUUCACAACAUCAAACAUUUAUCAAGGGCUUAUUCCCAGGAAAUUUUAAAGCAAAAACCGAUAAAAUUCCCUAAAGAUUCAUUGAAACACGUAAACAUUUCCCCAAAACAUUUUGAAAUGCAAGUUCACUCACCUGACAAAACUAACACCGACAAGGUUUUAAUCUAGGUAGUCCGAAAUACCAUUAAACCUAUUUUAUUAAUAAACCAUAACAACCUUAAUUAAGUCAUAAAUUUAAAUCUAAUAAUUCUAAUACAUUUACAUUAGGUAAUCUACCUUCUAACCGAACAUUUAGUCUAAAUUUCUAGUCUAAUUCUCAAACCCAUCAUAUCAACUAUUUCCAAAUGUAAAGAUUCUUUACCUUGGUGAGGUCGAAGGCAUCAAAAUCAACGAAAAACCUAAUCUUUCCAAGAAAAUAAUUUGAAGAAAUUAGGAAAUAAAUAUGAAAAUAUAACCAUAGAUUCAAAAAUUCCAAAAGUUGGAAAUAUAUACCUUUCAACCUUGAAAAUGAAGAUUUGAAGCCAUAAAUCCAAGUGUUGUUGAAAGUGAAGUAGAAAUAGAAAAUAAAGGCAAAAAAGAGAGAUUUUUUCUUUCUCUCUCCUUAGGUUUGGAAGUGCUGGAAAUUAGGGUUAAAAGUUGCAACUUUGGUGCACAAGGAGUUGGGAGAAGAAAGAAGUAAGAAGAGAAAGGAAAUGAAAAGAAAACAAGGAAAGAAAAUGAAAAAAAAUUAACUUUCCAUGAGAGAAUGAGAGAAUGGCGUUGGAAGCUUCAAGAAUGAAGAAGAAAAAUCUUGCUAGAGGAGAU
rnacentral:lncRNA from 1 species